AUUGAGAACCAAUAUUCGGAGUUAUUUUCACCCAAAAAAUCAAUUUGUUAAAUUAUUUUGUGUGAUUUGUAGUAUUGUUAAAAGUAUGUUUGUAUUUUUGUCAGCUUACAGUUGUUGUGAUUUAAUGUUUCUCCCUUGACAUAUUACUUGAUGAGGAUGUCUUUUAAAGAGUACACUUCCAGACGUAAAUUCUGCUUUUUCCAAGGUGGAUAUUACUGUCUCUUCUGAUGGAAAAAGUCUUAAUUCCAAAUUUUAUUUCUCAUUUGAGUAUUAUAAAAAGGGAGAAAAGUGGUGCCUUAAUUUUUUAAGUUAUAUUUGGUUCUAGUAAGUAUUUAAAUAUAUCAGUUGCAGAAUAUCUAAGAGAAGAAAUGAGACCAUAGUUACUACAUUCCCAUACACUAAAAUUUUCUGUUCUUUAUCAAAGUAAAACUUUUGUUUUGUUACCAUUAGUUUGAGCCUUUUUAAUGAAGGUAUUAAAUCCUCCAUCAGAAAUGUCAUGGUUUAUGUUUUUGUUUAGAAAAUAGAUACCAGGUACUUCUGAUUUUUUUUUCUUUUUCAAGGAUAUAUGAAACAAAUAUAUUGGCAGAAUAAAAGCUUAAACUUUUUACAUUAAAAGUACUAUGUAAGGUAUUCUGUGGUGGUCAUGUUCAUUACCAAGAAAACAUGCAUUUGGAAAAUGUUUAAGGAACACUGAGAUGUGUGCAUAUGUUCUUGCUCUUAUUUGUCGUCCACACAUGUAGAUGUGAAUCAGCUCUUCCUUGAGAUAACUGCCGCAGCCCAAGCAUCCAGAGUAAGUCUACACAACUUAUGGUCCUAUUUGAGUGCACUCAUUGCUAAUCACAGAAAAUAAGAGUAUUCAGAUUGCCUGAAGACCUUCUAGAACAAGAUAUGAAUUUUGGCACCAUUGCUGUUCCCCUCAAAAAAAAAAAAUAAAUAAAA